AUGGCCACGUGCACGAUCUGUGGAAUGGAGGAUGAGACAGAGUAUCAUGCAGUGAUUGCCUGUACUAAGGCAAAAGCGCUUCGGUCUGAAAUCCGAAAAGCCUGGAAGUUGCCGGCGGAGGAAAAAUUUCAGUACACCGGAGAUGACUGGCUAUUAUGCCUGUUGAGUGCAUGUGAUGAAGUAACUAGAAGAAUAAUCCUUCUAAUAAUCUGGAGAGCGUGGCAUCUCCACAACAACAGUGUGCAUGAGGAAGGAAAAGCUUCA
rnacentral:rRNA from 1 species